GAGGUAUGGGAUGCGGCCUGUACGCAGAACCUUUCAUGAGCUCCGAGUGAAAAGAGGUUAUUGCAGAUCAUGUGCCAAUACUCUUCACAUCCUGGAAAGACUACAGACUGCUAUAUAGAGAUGCAGACUCAAGAAGUCCGGCUAGGAGGACACCAGUGGCUGUGGUCAGCUACCUUUGAACAUGUCUUUACAUUUUGAUACUUUGUCAGAAAGAACCUAGAGACCAUCUCCAGGAGACUCCAGCGUCCCGAAAUCUGGUAACAGUUCCUGGUAGGAUGAUCAAAUUCUGUAAAACAAGCAUGAAUUCCAAAGCGGAGCGGCAAUCAGAGCAGCGGUGUGUGAGCAGCUGGCGUGUGCGUGGGCGUGAGGCUGAAGGCACCCAGUCCUCUGGGUGCCAGUGGCAGGUGUUUGGGGUUCAAUCUUAGCUCUGGGGAUUGCUGAGUGACCGACGCACUGAUCUUUUCUGUAGAGAUGGCCUGCAUGUCCCUGGGUAUUUUUUCUAAGUAUAAUUCCCUAGCUGUGUUUAUCAACUCUAUCAGAAAUUGUGCAAACUACCUAGUGCCUUGUAAUAAUUAUCUUGCUGGAAUUGAAACUGAAUUUGAUGGAUUGUAUUUUCUUGUUUACAAUUAAGAACUGCAAUGUGAAGUGUGAUUGAAAAAUACUGAGAUGUGUUAUGGACACGUAACCAUUCCCCAUGAUGAAAGUGAUCAUUAUGCUCUGCAGAUGUGUACUA